UACGAAGGGAGCUAGCGUUGUUCGGAAUCACUAGUGCGUAAAGCGCACGUAGGCGGAUGUGUCAGUCAGGGGUGAAAUCCCGGAGCUCAACUUCGGAACUGCCUCUGAUACAUGCAGCGUCUUGAGUCCGAUAGAGGUGGGUGGGAAAUUCCUAGUGUAGAGGUGAAAUUCGUAGAUAUUAGGAAAGAACGACCGGUGGCGAAGGGCGGCCCAACUGGAUCGGUACUGACGCUGAGGUGACGAAAGCGUGGGGGAGCAAACAGG
rnacentral:rRNA from 1 species